UGGGGAAUAUUGGACAAUGGGCGAAAGCCUGAUCCAGCAAUGCCGCGUGUGUGAAGAAGGCCUGCGGGUUGUAAAGCACUUUCAGUCGGGAAGAAAAGCAGAGGGCUAAUACCCCUAUUGUCUUGACAUUACCGACAGAAGAAGCACCGGCUAACUCCGUGCCAGCAGCCGCGGUAAUACGGAGGGUGCGAGCGUUAAUCGGAAUUACUGGGCGUAAAGCGCACGUAGGCGGCCAAGUAAGUCGGAUGUGAAAGCCCCGGGCUUAACCUGGGAAUUGCAUUCGAUACUGCUUGGCUGGAGUGUGGUAGAGGGAAGCGGAAUUCCGGGUGUAGCGGUGAAAUGCGUAGAUAUCCGGAGGAACACCAGUGGCGAAGGCGGCUUCCUGGACCAACACUGACGCUGAGGUGCGAAAGCGUGGGGAGCAAACAGGAUUAGAUACCCCCGUAGUCC
rnacentral:rRNA from 1 species